rnacentral:lncRNA from 1 species
AGCAGGGCGCUCUGGGCCUAGCUCAGAGGACAUGCUCCUGAGGCUAGCUAUUUUUCUGCUACUACUCUGGCUAAGAGAGACAUGUAAGGGCUGGAUGUAAACUCCCAGAGGGCACCUCCUGGGCUAGAGAAGAUGCAGCAUGAGCUCAGGAAUUCAACACAACACGAAAUAAUCAACAAAUUCGGGGAAUGUUAAUCUGACCAUCACCAGUUACAAAUGAUGUUUCAUGCUACCUUCUAUUCCUGCCUUCAUAAAUCAAGGAAAAGAAAAAGAGAACAUAUAUCCCCCUACCUUUUGAUUUCCAACAGUCUACUGAGAGGCCAAGAUUAUUUGCAGGGAAAGAAAAGGGGUCAAAAUGUUUUGCCAGUAACUCCCAAAUCAUCUACAGCCAAGGAGAAAAGUGUUUCAAGACAGAGGUGCUCAAUGGUAUCAAAUACUGCCAACAGACCAAGUAAUACAUGCAUUGAAGUGUCUACUGGAUCUAGCUAUAUGAUUCCACAGCUGUUUUAUAGUAACUCAGAGUUUGAAGAGAAAUUACUCCUGCAGUACCAGUUUCCAAAAUGCUUUGUAGCAUCUUCUCAAAAAACAAAUGGGAAGAAGCCAAUCAGAAAUAAGGAAUUUUUAAUUUAGGACACUUAGGCCAUACUGAAGCAAGGUGACAAAAUGAAUAGCUACAAUGUCUCGUGAAUCUUGGGUUUCCAUUCACCCUGGUAUUCAAGAGAAAUUCUUGCAUCAUGGAAGUUGCAGUUGGAUAGGACUUUCUCAGCUGAACACUGUCAUCUGCCAGAGCUUCAGGCAAGAACCCAGAACAGAUGAAACCCCAGACAUGACAAAAUAAGCCAAAGAAUACCAGGCCAAGGUGUGAAAGGCCAGAUGAGAACAAGCAGCGUACACGAUUCUGUUGCCAACAGAUCUCCCCUAACAGUGUCGUGCACCAAAUUUCCACAGUGAAUGUCAGGAAAAAAUGGCAAUUGAGGUGGGUGGUCAAAAGAGAAGCACAGUCUAUGAUGAAGUCACCCCAGAGAAGUCCUUUUUCCGUUUUCUCCUGAGAAAUUACCAGAAGAAAUUAAAAUCCU